rnacentral:rRNA from 1 species
UUAUGGCCAUAUCACAUUGAAACACUACUUCCUGUAUGAUCAAAGUUAAGCAAUGUUGAGCCUGGUCAGUACCUAGAUGGGUGACCACCUGGGGAAUACCAGAUGCUGUAAG